rnacentral:lncRNA from 10 species
AUGACAUGCAGACGUGUCUUUGUGCUAAAUGGCAGCUGAAUGGGUGCCAGCGAGAGAGGUUAUUAAGCACAGAUAAGAGGCAGCACCUCUAUUCACUGGCAAUGUCACUUUCUCCCAUUUGAGGAGAGACAUUUGUUCAAGACACUUUUUUUCUCCUCUCACUGACAAUACGUAAGGCAGAAAGUUGGUGUCUACGUUGCUGCAUGGCUGCAGAAUAGAUUGUUUCGAGAAGGUGAACUCUGGAAAGUGCUGAAUGCUUGUUAUAUGGAGGCAGAUAAUUUGAUGGAGCUACAUCUAACUUGACGUAGAGACCACAGUGUGUCACCAGAGAUUCUGGCCUCCUGAGCUGGAUGCAGAAACUGAGAGAACUUGGAGUUGACUCCCAUGGGGAGUGGGUACCUCCUCAGGAAACUCUGAAAAAGAAGAAGUAGAAAUAGUAUGAGACAAGAAACAGUCAUAUUCCAAAGAAUGAAAUACUGUUACAAAUGAUGGAUCCAGAAAAUCUUAUCUGGCAACUUGCUGUUAUUUUCAGUAAGCCUGAUGAUGAAGAAGAAAGGAAAGAAGAAAAGAGGUUAUCUUCGAAGAGAUAAUGACUGAAAAAUUUCAAGAACUGAUAAAAGACGCCAACCUACAUAUUCAAGAAGGAUAAGUAUCCAAAGAAUGGUAAAUCAAAAUAAAUCUCCAUCCAGAAACAACUUAAAAAAAACACACACACAAUAAAUGAAAACUUCAAGAUGAGAUGCUACAAAUACAUAUUUAUCAGUACUUUAAAAAAUUACAUUCAAAUGCUGCAUAGCUGCAAAAUUUAUAGAAAUUACAUAGUUACAUUGAUUAUCAUCUACGAAUUUAACAAUACCUACAAAAAUGGUAGAAUAGAGAUUUAGAUGAAUGCAUAGAGAAUCUGUCUAAGAAAAUUAACAAGGUAUAUAGGUCCUAUAGAACACUGAAUCUAAUACAAAAUACAUACUGUUUUCAAAUAUAUAUAGAAUAUUCACUUACUGUAAAAUAUACCUCAACAAAUUUCAAGGGCUCGGAAGGACAUUACAAUCUGUAUUACAGAGAGUAUAAAUAGAUUACUAAAAAUAAAAUGGUGACCAGGAAAGUAUAAGCUACAAAAUUAAGAAAAAAGAUUCCAAAUAUUUUUGAGUCAAAGUCACAGUGCUACUAGAAAUUGGAAAAUAUUUAUAAACUUAAUUAAAAAUAUUUCAAAACUUAUCAGUUAAGGUUAUAUUACUUAAAGAGAAAUAGGCCAAAUCAAGGGUCAGUAAACUGGCUUGUUGCUCAAAGCCAGCCUAUUGAUGUUUUUGCACAGCUAUUGGGAUAAGAAUUUUUGAACACUUGUUAAGGGUUUAAAAGUAGGGUUUAAAAAAUGUAAAGAUAUUUGACAGAGUCCAUAUAUGUCCUGCAUAAGUUAAGAUAUUCACUAUCAGCCAAUUUACAAAAAAAAAGUUUACUUAUUUCUAUAUACAUGCUUAUAUUAGAAAAGAAAAAUAAUGAACUGAAGAGAGCAUAUUUCCUAGGAAAUUAAUAAAGGACCAG